CAAGGGGACUGACGCACCAAUGUCGUGUGAGGGAAGAAGGCCUUCGGGUCGUAAACCUCUGUCAGAAGGGAAGAACCGCCAGGAGUCAAAUACGCUCUUGUUCUGACUGUACCUUCAAAGGAAGCGCCGGCUAACUCCGUGCCACCAGCCGCGGUAAUACGGAGGGGGCAGGCGUUAAUCGGAAUUACGGGGCGUAAAGCGUGCGUAGGCUGUUUGAUAAUUCAAACUUGAAAUCCCUCGGUUCACCCGGGGAAUUGCUUUUGAUACUGUUGGACUAGACUCCUGGAGAGGGUGGCGAAUUUCCUGGUGUAGGAGUGAAAUCCGUAGAUAUCAGGAGGAACACCGGUGGCGAAGGCGGCCACCUGGACAGGUACUGACUCUGAUGCACAAACGCGUGGGGAGCAAACAGGAUUAUAUACCCUGGUACUCCACGCGGUACACGAUGGAUGCUAAGUGUCUGGCAGCGAUCUUCGGCUCCGCAACUAACGCAUUAAACAUCCCGCCUGGGGAAUACGGUCGCCAGGGUG
rnacentral:rRNA from 1 species